UAAAUGACUAGGAAAGGGAAUCAAAUUAAUUGAUUUGCUGCAAAAGCUGAUUAUGUGUGUAAUCUAAAUAUCUGUUACUGAUCAAGAGAGGAAAUAUAUAUAAGGUCACAGAUUCUAGGAACAAAAUGAAAAUGUGCGAGAUGAAACAAGUGUCCAGUAUCUGGUUUUCACAUUUGCUUGACAUGGUUGCUACAAAGAACGUCUGAACAGUGUCUGCAUCAUGCCAGCUGAAAUGAGUGAGACAAAAAACAUUCAUCAGCUCCAUCAUUUGUUCCAGAUUAGGAAUAAACUGUGGAUAUUAUCUGUGUCUCCCAUUUCUGUGGCAACUUGUGGAGCAAUUAAAUUAGAUCCAUCUUCUUCAAAGUCAAUCAACGAAGAGUACAGAAUCAGCAUAGGCUUCACCACAUCAAGAUGCCUGAAAAAUGAUCUUCCGUUUUCAUUGUUAAGUUUUGUAGCUAACCAUGAAUUAAGUCUCCAAGAACAACAUUACAACCCUUGGCUUUCCCCUGAAAACAAAGCUUGCAAUGGAGUCUCGAGUUUCAUGUUCGACUAAACAAUAUCCUUCACCAUUUCGAAGUGCCUGAACAUUGAAGCAAGAUCAUAAGUAAUACCGUUUUCAAGUUUUAAUGAGUUGUUUGUUGGAUCCAUUUUCUUUUUCUUCAAUUGUCUGAUGGUCAAUAUGGUUUGUAAUGCGUUAUUGUUUGUCUCUCAGCUUUAACAGUUGAGGUGGAAAACAUUUGCAGACUACUGAAAAGCAUUUAAAACAGAGCAUCUUCCUGAAACUCAAUUAUGCAGCUUAAGGGAGUUUUGACCAUUCUCAUCAUUAUUUCAGAAAUGAUAGAU